ACAGCGGGAAGCCAGGCGGUGACGCCGAGCGGAACCGAAAGCCCCUCUCAGUUCGGAUCGGAGUCUGCAACCCGACUCCGUGAAGCUGGAUUCGCUAGUAAUCGCGCAUCAGCCAUGGCGCGGUGAAUACGUUCCCGGGCCUUGUACACACCGCCCGUCAAGCCAUGGGAGCCGGGAGCGCUUGAAGUGCGUCGCCGCGAGGCGCGCCCUAGAGCGAGACCGGUGACUGGGGCUAAGUCGUAACAAGGUAAC
rnacentral:rRNA from 1 species